AGUCGCGUAGCUCAGCUGGUUAGAGCACUACCUUGACAUGGUAGGGGUCGGUGGUUCGAGUCCACUCGCGACUA
rnacentral:tRNA from 1 species